rnacentral:tRNA from 3 species
AGGGGUGUAGCCAAGCGGUCAAGGCAACGGACUUUGACUCCGUCAUUCGUGCGUUCAAAUCGCACCAUCCCUGCCA